rnacentral:rRNA from 1 species
ACGGAAGGCAGCAGUGAGGAAUAUUGGUCAAUGGGCGGAAGCCUGAACCAGCCAAGUCGCGUGAAGGAUGAAGGUAUUAUGUAUUGUAAACUUCUUUAGCAGCAGAGUAAUAAGGGGGUCGUGACCCCCGAUGCAAGUAUGCUGAAAAUAAGGAUCGGCUAACUCCGUGCCAGCAGCCGUGGUAAUACGGAGGAUCCGAGCGUUAUCCGGAUUUAUUGGGUUUAAAGGGUGCGCAGGCGGUUUUUUAAGUCAGUGGUUAAAUCGUGAGGCUCAACCUCAUCACGCCAUUGAUACUGGAAGACUUGAUUGCGGUUGAGGUUGGCGGAAUUCGUCGUGUAGCGGUGAAAUGCAUAGAUAUGACGAAGAACACCGAUUGCGUAGGCAGCUGACCAAGCCGUAAAUGACGCUCAUGCACGAAAGUGCGGGGAUCGAACAGGAUUAGAUACCCUGGUA